GACUACCACUUCAUGAGCCCCAGCCAGUAUGGAGAACACAUCUGGAGGACAUCAGGUUAUGUUCAAACCAGAUCUCUUCAUUCUGAGAUGCAGUGGAAGCAUAAAACAAAUUGACAUCUUUUUUCUUCUCCAGAGCAAUUGAACUGUUUAAUACUUUUAAAAGUUAUAAUAUUGUUACCCCA